GUAAAGUCAGCUAAUUAAGCU
rnacentral:tRNA from 1 species